UACGUAGGGUGCAAGCGUUAUCCGGAAUUAUUGGGCGUAAAGAGCUCGUAGGCGGUUUGUCGCGUCUGCUGUGAAAACUGGGGGCUCAACCCCCAGCCUGCAGUGGGUACGGGCAGGCUAGAGUGCGGGAGAGGAGAGUGGAAUUCCUGGUGUAGCGGUGAAAUGCGCAGAUAUCAGGAAGAACACCCGUGGCGAAGGCGGCUCUCUGGAACGCAAACUGGACGCUGAAGACGCGAAAGCGUGGGGAGCAAACAGG
rnacentral:rRNA from 1 species